rnacentral:rRNA from 1 species
CCCUUAGAUGUUCUGGGCUGCACGCGCGCUACACUGACAUACUCAGCAAGCUUCCUUGCCUGAAAGGGUUGGGUAAUCUUGUUAGUGUAUGUCGUGAUGGGGAUAGAAUAUUGUAAUUAUUGCUCUUUAACGAGGAAUUCCUAGUAAGCGCAAGUCAUCAGCUUGCGUUGAUUACGUCCCUGCCCUUUGUACACACCGCCCGUCGCUCCUACCGAUUGGGUGAUCCGGUGAAUGAUUCGGACUCUGGCUAUGCUAGCUACUAGCUACGUCAGGGAAAGUUUUGUGAACCUUAUCACUUGGAGGAAGGAGAAGUCGUAACA